GGACCCGCACAAGUAGUGGAGCAUGUGGUUUAAUUCGAAGAUACGCGCAGAACCUUACCAACACUUGACAUGUUCGUCGCGACUUUAAGAGAUUAAAGUUUUCGGUUCGGCCGGACGAAACACAGGUGCUGCAUGGCUGUCGUCAGCUCGUGUCGUGAGAUGUUGGUUAAGUCCCGCAACGAGCGCAACCCUCACUUUUAGUUGCCAUCAUUUAGUUGGGCACUCUGAAAGAACUGCCAGUGAUAAGCUGGAGGAAGGUGGGGAUGACGUCAAGUCCUCAUGGCCCUUACGUGUUGGGCUACACACGUGCUACAAUGGUAUCUACAACAGGAAGCAAAACAGCGAUGUUAAGCA
rnacentral:rRNA from 1 species